rnacentral:rRNA from 1 species
GGUUAACGACUAAGCGUGCACGGUGGAUACUUUGGCAGUCAGAGGGCGAUGAAGGGCGUGCUAAUCUGCGAUAGCGGGUGAUAUGAACCGUUAUAACCGGCGAUACCCGAAUGGGAAACCCAGUGUGACUCGUCACACUAUCAUUAACUGAAUCCAUAUAGGUUAAUGAGGCGAACCGGGGGAACUGAAACAUCUAAGUACCCGAGGAAAGAAAUCAACCGAGAUUCCCCAGUAGCGGCGAGCGAACGGGAGGAGCCCAGAGCCUGAAUCAGCAUGUGUGUGUUGGUGGGAAGCGUCUGGAAAGGCGCGAUACAGGGUGACAGCCCGUACACAAAAGCGCAUGUGCUGUGAGGCUCCGAUAGUGGGGCCGGGACACGUGUUAUCCUGAUACGAAUAUGGGAGGGACAAAUCCUCCAGGCUAAAUACUCUGACUGACCGAUGGUGAACCAGUACCGUGAGGGAAGGCGAAAGAACCCCGGCGAGGGGUGAAAAAGAACCUGAAACCGUGUACGUACAAGCAGUGGGAGCACAAGGUUUACCUGUGUGACUGCAUUUGCACCUUUUGUAUAUGGGUUCAGCGACAUAUUCUGUAGCAAAAGGUUAACCGUAUAGGGGGCCGGAGAAACGAGGACUUAACCGGAGCGUUAAGUUGCAGGGUAUAAGGCCGAAACCCGGUGAUCUAGCCAUGAGUUGAAGGUUGGGUAACACUAACUGGAGGACUGAGCCAGCUGUGUUGAAAAGAAGUAGCGGAUGACCUUACUGUGGCUGGGGUGAAAAGGCCAAUCAAACCAGAGAUAGCUGGUUCUCCCCGAAAGCUAUUUAGGUAGCGCCUCGUGAAUUCAUCUCCGGGGUAGAGCACUGUUUCAGCUAGGGGCCAUCAGCUUACCAACCCGAUGCAAACUGCGAAUACCAAGAAUGUUAUCACGGGAGACACACGGCAGGUGCUAACGUCCGUCGUGAAGAGGGAAGCACAACCCAGACCGCCAGCUAAGGUCCCCAAAGUCAUGGUUAAGUGGGAAACGUGUGGGGAAGGCCCAGACAGCGGGAUGUUGGCUUAGAAGCAGCCAUCAUUUUAAAAGCGUAAUAGCUCACUGGUCGAGUCGGCCUGCGCCCGGAAGGCAACGGGGCUAAACCAUGCACCAGAAGCUGCGGCAGCGGCACGCUGAUGCACGUUGUUGGGUAGAGGGCGUUCUGUAAGCCUGUGAAGGUGUGUCGUGGGCAUACUGGAGGUAUCCAGAAGUACGAAUGCUGACAUAAAAUAACGAUAAAGCGGGUGAAAAGCCCGCCUGCCGGAAAGACCAAGGGUUCCUGUCCAACGUUAAUGGGGCAGUGAGUCGACCUUUGCUAGGCGAGGCCGAAAGGCGUAGUCGAUGGGAACGGUUAAUAUUCCCGUACUUGCGCUUCGCGAAGGGGACGGAGAAGCUAUGUUGGCCGGGCGACGGUUGUCCCGGUUUAAGCGCGUAGGUGUGUGUUCCGUGCAAAUCCGGUUCACUCUUAACACUGAGGCGCGUGACGACGAGGGCACCACGGUGCUGAGCAAACAAAUGCCCUGCUUCCAGAAAAGCCUUCUAAGCAUCAGGUAACAUCAAAUCAAAAUUCCCCAAACCGGCACAGGUGUAUCAGGUAGAGAAUACCAAGGCGCUUGAGAGAACUCGGGUGUAAGGAACUAGGCAAAAUGGUGCCGCAACUUCGGGAGAAGGCACAAGACACGUAGGUGAAGUGAUUUACUCACGGAGCUGAAGUCAGUCGAAGAUACCAGCUGGCCGCAACUGUUAUUAAAAACACAGCACUGUGCAAAACACGAAAGUGGACGUAUACGGUGUGACGCCCGCCCGGUGCCGGAAGUUGCCAAUUGAUGUAAGUCAGCGCAAGCGAAGCUCCCGAUCGAGCCCCGGUAAAACGGCGGCCGUAACCAUAACGGUCCUAUAGAAGCGGAAAUUCCUUUCGUCGGUAAGUUCCGACCUGCACGGCGUAAUGAUGGCCGUAAAGCGUCUCCACCCGAGACCAGUGAAAUUGAACUCGCUGUGAAGAUGCAGCGUACCCGCGGCAAGACGGAAAGACCCCGUGAACCUUACUGCGCUUCGACACUGAACAUUGAGCCUUGAUGUGGAUAGGUGGGAGGUUUAAAGUGUGGGACGCCAGUCUGCAUGGGUGGAGCCGACCUUUGAAAUACCACCCUUAAUGCGUUUGAUGUUCUAACGUGACCCGUUUACCCGGGUUGCGGACAGUGUCUGGCGGGUAGUUUGACUGGGGCGGUCUCCUCUAAAGAGUAACGGAGGAGCACGAAGGUUGGCUAAUCCCGUCGGACAUCAGGAGGUUAGUGCAAUGGCAUAAGCCAGCUUGACUGCGAGCGUGACGGCGAGCAGGUGCGAAAGCAGGUCAUAGUGAUCCGGUGGUUCUGAAUGGAAGGCCAUCGCUCAACGGAUAAAAGGUACUCCGGGGAUACAGCUCGAUACACCGCCUAAGAGUUCAUAUCGACGGCGGUGUUUGGCACCUCGAUGUCGGUCAUCACAUCCUGGGCUGAAGUAGGUCCUGCUGGGUAUGGCUGUUCGCCAUUUAAAGUGGGUACGCGAGCUGGGCUUAGAACGUCGUGAGAUUCCGUCCCUAUUCCGCCGGGCGCUGGAGAACUGAGGGGGCUGCCCUGUCGAGAGGACCGGAGUGGACGCAUCACUGGCGUUCGGGUUGUCAUGCCAAUGGCACUGCCCGGUAGCUAAAUCGCGGAAGAGAUAAGUGCUGAAAGCAUCUAAGCACGAACUUGCCCCGAGAUGAGUUCUCCUGAGACUUAGAGUCUCCCGAAGGAACGUUGGCGACGACGUCGACGUUGAUAGGCCGGGUGUGUAAGCGCAGCGAUGCGUUGAGCUAACUGGUACUAAUGAACCGUGAGGUUUAACCUG